AAAUUGAAGAGUUUGAUCAUGGCUCAGAUUGAACGCUGGCGGCAGGCCUAACACAUGCAAGUCGAACGGUAACAGGAAGAAGCUUGCUUCUUUGCUGACGAGUGGCGGACGGGUGAGUAAUGUCUGGGAAACUGCCUGAUGGAGAGGGAUAACUACUGGAAACGGUAGCUAAUACCGCAUAACGUCGCAAGACCAAAGAGGGGGAACCGUUCGGGCCUCUUGCCAU
rnacentral:rRNA from 1 species